rnacentral:rRNA from 1 species
UAAAUAAAUAAUUUUAGUUUAUAGUUAAUAUUAAUAAUAAAAAUUAAAUAAAAAUUUAAAUUUUUAGGUUAAAUUAAAAAUUUAUUAAUAAUUUAAUAAUAAAAUUUAUGAGGCUAGAAAAUUUUAAAUAAAAACUAGGAUUAGAUACCCUAUUAUUUAAAAUAUAAAUUUGUAACUAAGGUAGUAAUAGAUAUGUUCUUGAAACUUAAAAAAUUUGGCGGUGUUUUAGUCUAUUUAGAGGAACCUGUACUGUAAUCGAUAAUCCACGAUUAAUUUUACUGAAUUUUGUAAAGUUUGUAUACCGUCGUUAUCAGAUUAUCUUAAAAGAGAAUAAUAUUCUAGAAUUUUUAUAAAAAAAAAAAUUUCAGAUCAAGGUGCAGUUUAUAAUUUAGAAGUUAUGGGUUACAAUAAAAUUAUUUAAAUGGAGUAAAAUAUGAAAAAUUUUAUAAAGGUGGAUUUAAUAGUAAAAUUAAUUAAAUAAUUAAUUUGAUUAUAGCUCUAAAACAUGUACAUAUCGCCCGUCGCUCUUUCUUUUAAAGAAAGAUAAGUCGUAACAUAGUAAAUGUACUGGAAAGUGUAUCUAGAAUUAU